UCUUGUCCGCGGAUCUGCGCAUCAUCGCCACGAUAAUUAAGUUCCUCACUGUAUCUUUUAAAGACCGCAUUUUUUUCCUCCCCCCCGUAUCUUGCAUGCAGCCGUAGGGACAAAUGGGCUAACAGACGCUUAAAAAACAACCAACAAGGUGGGGGUUAGAGGAGGAUGCUGCUCUCAGCCCGGUCCUGGGGGGGUUAUGGGGGGGCUGGCUCAGCCCGUUCCAUUGCCCAGGACAGGUCAGAGCCUGGGGCUGGUCCCUUUUAUGUUCCGCAUUUACCCAAUUUUGCUUCAUCACCAAAAUCGUGUCAAUAUCAUCAAGUUGUUUACCGGGGGGGGGGCUGUGCUGCUUCCCAGCUGAUGUCUUUGUAGCGGAGAUGCUCUAUGUGUGUCCGUGGGCAAAAUGGGGGGGGCUGCCACGCCAGAAACCUGUGGCGUGCAUUAAAAAACAAAUGCCUAAACAUGCUAAAGCGUAAUUUGCGGCUUGCUGGUGGUGCUGGGGCGGGGGCUGGUGGGAGGAUUGCGUUGGGUCCAAGGAAGCAGAAACGAGGCAGAUCUGCUCGCUGUUUGCACGGCAGCCCCUCAUGGCAUCGUCCGAGCCCCCUCCCAGCAUUUAGAGAAAGAGGUGAAGGAAGAUACAGGAGCGAUUAAUCAAGUGGCUAAUAAAAAAAGUAUAAAUCCCCGGGGGCUGCGCGCCGCUGAUGCCGGAGAGCUGGCUCGGAGACAGGCACCGGGAGGGACGAGCCAGCCCUCCUCUCUUCGCCUCUCCUCUCCCCGAGCUGCUGCCACACUUGGUUCAUUCCAGCUGCAGAAGCUCAGAGCCUUCCAUGCGCCGAGCCGAGGACUAUCCCAAUCGCAAAGGGGGAGAAAAAAGGGGGAAAAUCCACCAGCAGCCAACCCCCAACACGCCCCAUUCCUGCCGUCCUUUGACAUGCAACCUUCCUUGGGAUGGGACCGGCCGGGAUGCAGCUGCAGCCUCGGAAGGAAUUGGGGAAAAUUGGGGAUCUUGGCUCUGAUGACGGUGGAAGUGAGCUCCUGGAGCCGGGUGCUGCUGCUCUCCGUGGGGCUGCUGGCUGCCUCCACCAACGGUGAGUGUAUUGGGGAAGGCUGGUAACUUUGGGGCAUCUCCCUGCUUGAUGCUUAUAGCCUGGGACUGCUCUUCAUCCUCUUUCCAGGGGUCUCUAGUGUGUGUCUAUGUGUGUGCUUGUAUGUCAGCACACGCUUUCCCGUAGUGUUGAAUGAGUGUUGGGUUUUCUUUAGAUAAGAUUGUUGCACCCAGAGGCUGGAUGGAGAGAAACUGUCUUAAAUGAUGUAAUACCACACAGAACCUUGGAGUAUUUCUCCUUCUCUGACGGGUCAAAUAAUUAGCACACGGUUGCUGUAUGAUACACGAGAUGACUGUGAGAAAUGCCAUUGCUUUCCCCCUUGCAUCUUAAU
rnacentral:lncRNA from 1 species